rnacentral:rRNA from 1 species
CUACGGGCGGCACCAGUGGGGAAUUUUGGACAAUGGGCGAAAGCCUGAUCCAGCCAUGCCGCGUGCAGGAUGAAGGCCUUCGGGUUGUAAACUGCUUUUGUACGGAACGAAAAGACUCUUUCUAAUAAAGAGGGUCCAUGACGGUACCGUAAGAAUAAGCACCGGCUAACUACGUGCCAGCAGCCGCGGUAAUACGUAGGGUGCAAGCGUUAAUUGGAAUUACUGGGCGUAAAGCGUGCGCAGGCGGUUAUAUAAGACAGAUGUGAAAUCCCCGGGCUCAACCUGGGAACUGCAUUUGUGACUGUAUAGCUAGAGUACGGCAGAGGGGGAUGGAAUUCCGCGUGUAGCAGUGAAAUGCGUAGAUAUGCGGAGGAACACCGAUGGCGAAGGCAAUCCCCUGGGCCUGUACUGACGCUCAUGCACGAAAGCGUGGGGAGCAAACAGGAUUAGAUACCCCAGUAGUC